GUGCUCCCAGUGCCCUUCAAUGCCUUCCCAGUGCCCUCCCAGUGCUCCCAGUUCCCCCUCCAUCCACCCCAUGAUGCCCCCCAAUGUUCCCCCCCCAUCCACGGUGCCCAUCCCCCUCUGUGCCCCCCCCCUCCCAGUCCAUCCCAGUACCCCCCCCAGCCCUUCCCGGCAGUGGGGUCGGAGGGGAAUUCGGUGCGGUGCUGAAACUGGAGGUGAUUUCUGAGAAGGGCCCCGGGGGGUGUUGAGCAACAGCGGGGCUGCCCGUCCGUCUGUCCUUCCCGUCUGUGUGUCUCAUCCAUCCGUCCUUCCCAGCCGUCUGUCUCAUCUGUGUUUCCCAACCAUCUGUUCCCCAUCUGUCUGUCUCACCCAUCCGUCUGUCUUUUCCACGUCUGCUUUUCCCCGUCCAUCUUUCCUAUCCCUCUGCCUUCCCCAUCCUUCAUCUUCCCCAUCUGUCUGCCUUUUCCAUCUGCCCAUCUGUCCAUCUGUCCAUCUGUCAAUCUGUCCUUCUUAUCCACCUGCCGUCCCCAUCCAUCUGCCUUUCCCAUCCAUCUGUCCGUCUUUCCCAUGUUUGCUUUCCCCACCCAUUUCUCCCAUCUGUCUGCCUGCUUUCCCCAUCCAUCCGUCUGUCUGUCUUUCCCAUCCACCCACCUUCCCCAUCUGUCUGUCUGUCUGUCUUUCCCAUCCACCCACCUUCCCCACCCCUUUGCUUUUCUCACCCAUCUGCCUUCCCCUGUCUUUCCCACCCGUCUGCCUUUUCCAUCUGUCCAUCUGUCUUUCUUACCCACCUGCCCUCCCCAUCCGUCCAUCUUUCCCAUCCAUCUUUAUUCCCCAACCAUCUUUUCCAUCUGCCUCCCCCAUCUGUUUGUCUGUCUUCUCCAUCUGUCCGUCUUUCUCAUCUUCCUAUUUUUCCCAUUUCUCUGCCUUUCCCAUCCUAUCUGUCUUUGUCCAUGUGUCCAUCUGUCUAUCUGUCUAUCUGUCUUUCUCAUCCAUCUGCCUUUGCCAUCUGUCUGCUUUCUCCAUCCGUCUGUCUGUCUUUCCCAUCCACCUCUUUCCCAUCCACGUUUUCCAUCCCUCUGCCUUCCCCAUCCAUCCAUCCAUCCAUCCGUCCGUGUUCCCCAUCCAUCCGUCUGUCCACCUUCCCUAUCCAUCUGUCUGCCUUUCCCAUACAUUUUCCCAUCCGUCUGCCUUCCCAUCCAUCCUUCUGCCUUUCCCUAGCUGUCCAUCUGUCUUUCCCAUCCAUCUUCCCCACCUGUCUGUCUGCCUUUCCCAUCCAUUUUCCCCAUCCAACUACUUUCCCUAUCUGUCCAUCUGUCUUUCCCAUCCCUUUCCCAUCCACCUUUCCCAUCCCUCUGCCUUCCCCAUCCAUCCAUCCGUGUUCCCCAUCCAUCCAUCUGUCCAUCUUCCCUAUCCAUCUGUCUGCCUUUCCCAUCCAUUUUCCCCAUCCAACUGCUUUCCCCAUCUGUCCAUCUGUCUUUCCCAUCCAUCUCUUUCCCAUCCACCUUUCCCAUCCUUCUGCCUUUCCCAUCCAUCCAUCCAUCCAUCCAUCCAUCCAUCCAUCCAUCCAUCCAUCCAUCCAUCUGUCCAUCUUCCCUAUCCAUCUGUCUGCCUUUCCCAUCCAUUUUCCCAUCCGUCUGCCUUCCCAUCCAUCCUUCUGCCUUUCCCUAGCUGUCCAUCUGUCUUUCCCAUCCAUCUUCCCCACCUGUCUGUCUGCCUUUCCCAUCCAUUUUCCCCAUCCAACUACUUUCCCCAUCUGUCCAUCUGUCUUUCCCAUCCAUGUUCCCCAUCCAUCCAUCCCUCCAUCCAUCCAUCCAUGUUCUCCAUCCAUCCGUCCAUCUUCCCCAUCUGUCUGCCCUUCCCAUCAAAUUUCCCAUCCGUCUGCCUUCCCCAUCCAUCCUUCUGUCUCUCCCUAUCUGUCCACCUGUCUUUCCCAUCCAUAUUCCCCAUCCAUCCAUCCAUCCAUCCAUCCAUCCAUCCAUCCAUGUUCCCCAUCCCUCCAUCCGUCCAUCUUCCCCAUCCGUCUGCCUUCCCAUCCAUCCUUCUGUCUUUCCCCACCUGUCCAUCUGUCUUUCCCAUCCUUCCCUUUCCCCUCCCUCUGCCUUCCCCAUCCCUCCAUCUGUCCAUCUUCCCCCCAUCCAUCCGCUCC
rnacentral:lncRNA from 1 species